rnacentral:miRNA from 1 species
AUUGAACUAAGGAGGGGUGGA